AUCUGUUUCAAUUCCUUCUCUCUUUGGAAACAAAAAUAUUAAAGACUUGCUCUGCUCUGAGUAGUGAGUGGAAGAAGAAGAAGACGCAAUGGCUCCAAAAGCUUGAAUGAGCGAGGGAGCGAGCGCCCACAAUUAAACUACGUACUACUUGGUGGCAUAUAUAUAUAUAUAUAUAUAUAUAUAUAUAUAUGCGCACAAUAUUAAAUAUCAAUUGCUCCUGGACCUCGGCGUACGGUGUAUACCUCAUUCGAUCUCUUGCUUCUUCUAUUUAAUCUUCUUAGUGGGGUUGAGUACUGGAAGUUGCUAGGCUGUACGGACGUAGUUGGGUACAGGGAUCUCAUUAAUUCUGAUAUAUCAUCAUCAAAAUCAAAUUCAGAAUCAAAAUGGAGCACUCCUCCCCCUCCUCCUCUUCAUAUAGUGCUGCCGCGGGCGGCGGCGGCGGCGGCGGCGAACAGAGGCCUAGUAUGCAAGCAGGUGGGCCAUCUGAUGAAGUAGUAGCUGCAUCCAUCAUGACUACUUCCACCUCAAGCAACAGGGGCAGCGGAAGGCAGCCUCCGACUGGCAAGUGGAUGGCAUUUGAUCAUCCGGAGGAGGCCUCCGCCUCCGCCUCCUCCUCCACCACCGGCAAGUCUCCAAUCACUGCUGGCCAUGGAGAUGAUGACACGAUGAAUAUCAGUAGUACUCGUGAUCAUGAUCAUGUAACUUCGUGGAUGUUGACGGAAGCUAGCAUAGCCGAUAGGGCAGCAGAAUGGGGGCUGCAGCUGCAGGGAAUUAGAAAAACCUCCUCGUCAGAGAGAUUAAUUAUGGUACAACAUCAAGAAUCAAGUACGAGAACGUCCGAGGAAUCUGAUCCUCCUGCUGACAUAAUAAUCCCCAGGGUAUCUCAGGAGCUGAAGGACGCUCUGGCAACCCUUCAACAGACAUUUGUUGUGUCCGAUGCCACCAAACCCGAUUGCCCCAUUGUCUAUGCCAGCACCGGCUUCUUUACCAUGACUGGUUAUUCCACAAAGGAGGUUAUUGGAAGGAACUGCCGGUUUCUACAGGGGGUGGAGACGGACCAGAAGGAGGUUGAAAAGAUUCGAAAUGCUGUGAGAGAGGGGAAAAGCUACUGUGGCAGACUCUUGAACUACAAGAAGAACAGCGCCCCUUUCUGGAAUCUUCUCACUAUCACCCCUAUCAAAGACGACAAUGGCAGGACCAUCAAAUUUAUUGGAAUGCAGGUUGAGGUCAGCAAAUACACGGAAGGUGUGAAUGACAAAGCGUUACGGCCGAAUGGGUUGUCUAAGUCGUUAAUCCGCUAUGACGCUCGGCAGAAGGAGAAGGCCUUAAGUUCCAUCACAGAAGUUGUCCAAACUAUAAAGCAUCCAAAAUCUCACAGUCAGUCUGUAAAUCAUGAUGCUACCGGCAAGCAUGAAGUGGAGGAGAAUUUCAACCUUGACUAUGUUCUGCCUAAAUCUGCUGAUACUGAGAAUAUAAGUGCACCCCAAACCCCUCAAUUGGAUUCUAGAAGUUAUGUAUCUCGCACAAGCUCUUUCCAGGAGACUGUCAAAAUAUCUAGAAAAUCAGGACGCGUUUCUUUAAUGGGGUUUAAAGGGAGAUCUCUAAGCUACACAGGGAAGCAUGAAAAUCUACCAAGUAUUGAGCCAGAGGUUUUGAUGACUAAAGACAUAGAGCGCUCUGACAGUUGGGACCAUACUGACAGAGAAAGGGAUAUUCGUCAAGGAAUUGACCUAGCAACCACAUUGGAACGCAUUGAAAAGAAUUUUGUGAUAACAGAUCCUAGACUUCCUGACAACCCAAUUAUAUUUGCAUCAGAUAGCUUUCUUGAAUUGACCGAGUAUACGCGUGAAGAAAUUUUAGGAAGAAACUGCCGAUUUCUUCAAGGACCUGAAACAGAUCAAGGAACUGUCUCAAAGAUAAGAAAUGCUAUCAGAGAGCAAAGGGAAAUCACUGUACAGUUGAUAAACUACACUAAGAGUGGGAAGAAAUUCUGGAAUUUAUUCCACUUGCAGCCCAUGCGUGAUCAAAAGGGUGAACUUCAAUAUUUCAUUGGUGUCCAACUAGAUGGAAGUGAUCAUGUGGAACCCCUAAGAAACCGCCUCUCAGAGAAAACAGAGGAACAAAGUGCUAAGUUGGUCAAAGCUACUGCCAAUAAUGUUGAUGAGGCUGUUCGAGAACUUCCUGAUGCCAACUUGAGACCAGAAGAUUUGUGGGCUAUCCAUUCUCAACCUGUCUUCCCAAGGCCUCACAAAAAGUACAGUUCUUCUUGGACAGCAAUACAAAAGAUCACUGCUAGUGGUGACAAAAUUGGGUUAAAGCAUUUCAAGCCCAUAAGACCUUUGGGAUGUGGGGAUACUGGCAGCGUUCAUUUGGUGGAACUAAAAGGUACAGGUGAGCUGUAUGCUAUGAAGGCGAUGGACAAAUCUGUAAUGUUGAACCGUAACAAGGUUCACCGAGCAUGUAUUGAAAGGGAAAUCAUUUCUUUUCUGGAUCAUCCUUUCCUUCCAACACUAUAUGCCUCUUUUCAGACAUCUACACACGUUUGCUUGAUAACAGACUUCUGCCCUGGAGGAGAGUUAUUUGCCUUGCUUGACAAACAACCUAUGAAAAUAUUUAAAGAGGAAUCUGCGAGGUUCUAUGCGGCAGAGGUCGUUAUUGGGUUUGAAUAUCUUCACUGUUUAGGAAUAAUUUAUCGAGACCUGAAGCCGGAAAAUGUGCUUCUUCAAAAGGAUGGGCAUGUAGUACUAACUGACUUUGAUCUAUCAUUUAUGACAUCAUCUAAACCCCAAAUUAUAAAGCAUCCUCCGCCUAAAAAAAGAAGAUCUAGGAGUCAACCUCCACCAACAUUUGUUGCAGAACCAGUUACACAAUCAAAUUCAUUUGUUGGAACUGAAGAAUACAUUGCUCCGGAAAUUAUUACAGGUGCUGGCCACAGUAGUGCUAUUGAUUGGUGGGCUCUUGGUAUUUUUCUGUAUGAGAUGCUUUAUGGUCGUACACCUUUCAGAGGAAAGAACAGACAGAAGACAUUUGCCAACAUCUUGCACAAGGACCUAACUUUUCCAAGUAGUAUUCCGGUAAGUCUCGCUGCCCGGCAGUUGAUUCAUGCCUUGUUGAAUAGAGACCCUGCCAGUCGUUUAGGGUCAAUUACUGGUGCAAAUGAAAUCAAACAACACUCUUUUUUCCGUGGAAUUAAUUGGCCUCUCAUCCGCUGCAUGGUAGUGGCUCUUCCAUCUCUGUAUAGGCUGACACAGGAUUCCUUAUAUUGACUUUGGUCAGAUUUAGAUAGCCCACCACCACUGGAUGCACCUCUUAAGUUGAUUGGAAAAGAUCCAAAUGCUGCAGAUGUACAUUGGGAAGAUGAGGGAGUACUUGUUCAUUCUAUGGAAUUUUUCUAGAGGCAUAUUUGUGUAAAUGAGAUAAAGCAAGUAUGUGGAUGGACUGGAUUUUGGCCUUGUUACUUCCUGGAAGAUGGGGCUAUCUCUGGUCAGAAAAUAGGAAUUUCAGACUGUACAGAGAGGAAUAACCGACCAAUGGGAUUUAUAGUUUAAUCUUCUUUGUUUUUUUUUGGGUCUGUGAGGGGUGUAGGGAGGGAAUGUAAGAGUGUUUUCUUCUUUUACCAUAUUGUUGCAGCUAACUGAUGUAAUCUUCUUAUUAGUGUGUAUUUUAAAAACAAACCUUGUGCAAUCCUUUAGAGAACUAGUAAGCAUUCAUAAUUAUUCAUAUUCAUACACAACAAAUGUUUAUUUC